rnacentral:lncRNA from 1 species
AAACAGGGGGUACCAGUACAGAGUCAAUGUGGAGGCUAUAUACAGGGGGUACCGGUACAGAGUCAAUGUGGAGGCUAUAUACAGGGUAUUACGGUACAGAGUCAAUGUGGAGGCUAUAUACAGGGUAUUACGGUACAGAGUCAAUGUGGAGGCUAUAUACAGGGGGUACCGGUACAGAGUCAAUGUGGAGGCUAUAUACAGGGUAUUACGGUACAGAGUCAAUGUGGAGGCUAUAUACAGGGGGUACCCGGUACAGAGUCAAUGUGGAGG